CGACGAGUUUGAUCCUGGCUCAGAACGAACGCUGGCGGCAGGCCUAACACAUGCAAGUCGAGCGCACCCUUCGGGGCGAGCGGCGGACGGGUUAGUAACGCGUGGGAACGUACCCUUUUCUAUGGAAUAGCCUCGGGAAACUGAGAGUAAUACCAUAUAAGCCCUUCGGGGGAAAGAUUUAUCGGGAAAGGAUCGGCCCGCGUUAGAUUAGAUAGUUGGUGGGGUAAUGGCCUACCAAGUCUACGAUCUAUAGCUGGUUUUAGAGGAUGAUCAGCAACACUGGGACUGAGACACGGCCCAGACUCCUACGGGAGGCAGCAGUGGGGAAUCUUAGACAAUGGGCGCAAGCCUGAUCUAGCCAUGCCGCGUGUGUGAUGAAGGUCUUAGGAUCGUAAAGCACUUUCGCCAGGGAUGAUAAUGACAGUACCUGGUAAAGAAACCCCGGCUAACUCCGUG
rnacentral:rRNA from 1 species